AUGGCAAAUAAUAGCAUUCUCCAAGUCUUUGUUGUUUUUCUCAUUGCGCAAGUCUUCUUGCUCAUGAUGAUUGCAGCACCGAUAGCACAGGCAGCUGGCAGGCUUAUGGGAUACAACCCAGUUUGCUGCCCUAGGGACAUCUAUUGUUGUGGGCUCGGUGGCGUGAUGGCCAAUGGAACCGCAUCCUCCAUGAAGCCUUGA
rnacentral:rRNA from 1 species